ACCCGCUCGGGUCCCCUUCCACACUGUGGAAGCUUUGUUCUUUUGCUCUUUGCAAUAAAUCUUGUUACUGCUCACUCUUUGGGUCCAUGCUGCUUUUAUGAGCUGUAACACUCACCACGAAGGUCUGCAGCUUCACUCCUGAAGCCAGCGAGACCACGAGCCCGCCGGGAGGAACGAACAACUCCAGAUGUGCCGCCUUAAGAGCUGUAACACUCACCACAAAGGUCUGCAGCUUCACUCCUGAGCCAGCGAGACCACGAACCCACCAGAAGGAAGAAACUCUGAACACAUCCGAACAUCAGAAGGAACAAACUCCAGACGCACCACCUUAAGAGCUGUAACACUCACCGCAAGGGUCCGCAGUUUCAUUCUUGAAGUCAGUGAGACCAAGAACCCACCAAUUCUGGACACAUUUUGGCAACCCAGAUGGGACUUUCGCCUAUCACCAAGCGGUGAGACCAUCACCUAUAGCUGAGCGGCGAGACCAUCACCUAUCACCAAGCAAAUCAAGGCCAUCAAGCUACAGAUGGGCUUACAAAUGGAACCCCAAAUGAGUUCAACUAACAACUUCUACCAAGGGCCCCUGGACCGACCCACUGGCACUUCCCCUGGCCUAGAGUUCCCCUCUGAAGGACACUACAACUGCAAGGCCCCUUCUUCACCCCAUCCAGCAGGAAGUAGCUAGAGCACUCAUCGG
rnacentral:lncRNA from 1 species